rnacentral:rRNA from 1 species
AUGAACGCUGGCGGCGUGCUUAACACAUGCAAGUCGAACGAUGAAGCCCAGCUUGCUGGGUGGAUUAGUGGCGAACGGGUGAGUAACACGUGAGUAACCUGCCCUUAACUCUGGGAUAAGCCUGGGAAACUGGGUCUAAUACCGGAUAGGAGCGUCCACCGCAUGGUGGGUGUUGGAAAGAUUUAUCGGUUUUGGAUGGACUCGCGGCCUAUCAGCUGUUGGUGAGGUAAUGGCUCACCAAGGCGACGACGGGUAGCCGGCCUGAGAGGGUGACCGGCCACACUGGGACUGAGACACGGCCCAGACUCCUACGGGAGGCAGCAGUGGGGAAUAUUGCACAAUGGGCGCAAGCCUGAUGCAGCGACGCCGCGUGAGGGAUGACGGCCUUCGGGUUGUAAACCUCUUUCAGUAGGGAAGAAGCGAAAGUGACGGUACCUGCAGAAGAAGCACCGGCUAACUACGUG